rnacentral:lncRNA from 1 species
GGCAAAAUCAGCUCACUGCAACCUCGAACUCCUGUCUUCAAGAGAUCCUCCCAGCUCUGCUUCCCAAAGUGCUGGGAUUACAGGCAUGAGCCAUACACCAGCCCAAAGACAAGAUUUGACUAAUGAAUGAUACAGUGAAAACUCUGAAAAAGAAGAGAAAUCGCAAUCUGGCUUAAGAAGUUUGUCUGACAAAGAAGUAAAGCAAAGAAAUGUCAAAGGGUUAAAGCUGAGCAUCCAGACUACACAAAGAAGCCCUAAGUGAGCUGAUUGUAGUAGGAGCAUUAGCCUGAAAAUCAGUACUG